CGUUGCCAAGGCAGCCGGGAAGGCGUGGCCCGGAAGAGGAGCCCCGCUGCGUCUGCGGGGAGCCGCGAGCGCGGGGGGCUCCGGCCUAACUGGUUCGGGAGCCUGCCUGGAUCAAAGCUGAGAAGCGGAGCGUGAGGAGCGUGAUGCAGAGCGAUAGCCCGCCGCCUGGAAGCCCCGGCUUGACAAGAGCAAGGGGAACUGGUGCACACGGACGUCGGGGCGAUGGCCGACCUUCCUGACGGGCCCGUUGCUGAUGGGGCGCAGAGAUCCAGCUCCUCCAGCUCCCCCGGAGGACCGCAGCCCCGGGCCCGGGCCUCUGGGAGCCAGCCUGAGCGGGGAAGGGCCGCGCACGUGGAACAUGGAGACCAACAAGCCGAGCUCUCGGGCUCCAAAAAUAAUGAAACGACGUUCAUUACAAAGUGGAUCCGCUAUCUCAGGGGCCAAGAAACGAGCUCCGGACAGUACGGAUCAGACGCUCGACGCCAAGCAGAAAGCACGCGGGUGCCUGAUGAGGAACUGAAUGCCCUCCAGUCUUUCUGUGCCGUUAAGAUAAACCUGAUCCAGCAUAGAGCGAACUCUAAGGAGAAAAAGAGCAGCGGACGUCAAAAGCCACAGCUUAGAUUGGAGGCCGGGGCCUCAGAGGGAGAUGCCUUAACCUGUACGGUCCCCGAUGAACUCGUGAACAGAAUCUACUUAAAAAACAUGAGGACAGCACCCAAACAGGGGGCGACAGCCAAGCAACACAUUUCUUGGCGGUGUCUCCAUUGCAACAGAAAACGAGCAGAACUGGCGCAAGCUGCCUUUCUGAGACGAAAAAAGACUCUCCUGGAGUCCCUUCUGCUCCAAGACAAAAUAGACAAGCAUCUUUACACCAAAGACCUUCUUACCCUUAUUGGAGACGCCCAUCGAGGUCUUCCCAGGCUUUCAGAUGACCCCAGAAUAAUCUGGAAGAGACUGAAUGAGCAAAGUCAGAUCAGACACUCAGAAAGAAUUCACUGUAUGCUUUUACAUUUCAAAACGAAAUAUACAACAUCGAACACUCAUGCCUGCUGGUAUCACCAAAAGGAAAACAACCACACGCUCAGUGUCUCCUGAUGGAGGAACACAAAGCUAACCCUGAAGUUCCUGGCCAAAAAUGGAAACUGAAUCUGAGCGAUUCUCUAGACGCAAAUGACAGCAUACAACGUGGAAGAGAGAGAGAGAGAGAGUAAGCAGAGGAAGAGGAACAGAGAAUCUCAAGGAGACCCCACACUGAGCACACAGCCUAUCAUGGGGCUCCAUCUCACAAUCUCGUGAUCAGGACCUGAGUCAAAACUGACUGUCUGCCAUUUAAAUGAC